GAUCCUGGCUCAGGAUGAACGCUAGCUACAGGCUUAACACAUGCAAGUCGAGGGGCAGCAUGGUCUUAGCUUGCUAAGGCCGAUGGCGACCGGCGCACGGGUGAGUAACACGUAUCCAACCUGCCGUCUACUCUUGGACAGCCGUUCUGAAAGGAAGAUUAAUACAAGAUGGCAUCAUGAGUUCGCAUGUUCACAUGGAAUUAAAGGUAUUCCGGUAGACGAUGGGG
rnacentral:rRNA from 1 species